UACGGGGGGAGCAAGCGUUGUUCGGAUUUACUGGGCGUAAAGGGCGCGUAGGCGGUCAGCACAAGUCAGUUGUGAAAUCUCCGGGCUUAACUCGGAAAGGUCAACUGAUACUGUGCGACUAGAGUGCGGAAGGGGCAACUGGAAUUCUCGGUGUAGCGGUGAAAUGCGCAGAUAUCAGAAGGAACACCGGUGGCGAAGGCGGUGGUCUGGGCCGGCACUGACGCUGAGGAGCGAAAGCGUGGGGGAGCGAACAGG
rnacentral:rRNA from 1 species